GAUUUUGGAGGUAAUGCAUGAGCAGGAGAUUAUUCCAGCUACUCCCCAUUACAAUAUUCUUAUAAAGGGCCUCUGCAGGACGUGGAAGAUGAAAGUUGCUCAAAGUUGCUUAGUUGAAAUGCUGGAUAGAGGCCUAAAACCUGACCAGGAGAUUUAUGAAGCCUUCAUUAUUGGAUAUUGUGGAAAAGGGGAAUUGCAAAACGCAGAAAAAUAUUUAUGCCAGAUGCUGCAUCAUGGUUUUAAGCCCAACAAAGCAAUUUAUAGUGCUUUGAUCAGUGUGAACUGCAAAAUUGGUAAGGUAAGCGAAGCCUUUGGGGCAUUUAGAAGUAUGCUUUCUCUGGAUCUUUUGAAAGUGUGUGAGGCCUAUCCUGUUCUCCUUCGUAGUCUCUUGACGAACGGAAAAAUGCUAGAAGCAGCUGAAGUCAUUUCAGAACUUCAUGGCAAGAAUCUGGUUGCUGAUGUUUCUGCCUAUGAAGCUCUCAUCUGUUAUUUUGCUCAACACUCUGAGAUUGAAAAGGCCUUUACCCUUUAUGAGGAAUCACAAAACAAAGGUAUUCGUCCCAACUUACGUACUCGCAAUCACUUGAUUGUUGGGCUGUUUAGAGCCGGCCAAACUGAGAGAGCUAAAAUAAUAUUUGAUAUCAUCUUAAAAGAAGGUUUGGGACCAAAUAGAGAGAUAUGCACUACCAUGAUAUCUGGUUUAGCUAAAGGAGGACUAUUGUCUGAGGCCUUUGGCUUGUUUCACUCUAUGAUACUUGGGGGUCUUUCUCCGCGUAGAAUAAUUUAUAAUGCUCUUCUUGAUGGAUGUUGUAAGACUGGGAACUUGCAGAAAGCUCAGGACUUGCUUCAGGAAAUGUUUCAAAUGGGAAUAGCUUCCACUAAAGAUUUUAACACAUUGAUUGAUGGAUUCUUGAAGAAUGGAAAUGUGGUGGAAACUAAGCAGCUUCUGAAAAAGAUGAUAGAGGGAUGUGUUGAACUUGAUCAGGACACGUAUACGAUGCUCGUUGAGCAGCUAUGCAAGGAUGGACUGAUGGAGGAAGCUGAAAUGCUGAUAUCAGAGAUGCAAAAAAGGGAUCUUGUACCUUAGGGUGCAACUUACAGUAGAAUUUUUCAUGGCUAUCAUAUGAUAGGUGAGAGAUCAAGACUUUGUGCCGUAUUCCGAGAAAUGGUGAGGAAGGGUAUCAAUCCUGAGAAUGGCACUCUUCCCGUUGUGCUGGAUGCUUUCUCUAAAGAAGGGAACUUACUUGACGCAUUCAAGUUAUUCAUAGGAAUGUUGGAGAAGGGCACGCCUCUAAGUGUAAGCGCCUGUGAGUCACUAAUUGAUGCUUUAUGCUUGGAUGGGAAGUAUGGCAAAGCAUUGGAAUUUCUUCUUGAGAUGGGAGAGAAAGGGUUUGUUCUCAAUCAUUCAACUUGUAGUGCUAUAGGUCGUAGUUUUUCUCUGAAAGGUGAUACUGAUACAGAUGAAGUAUGCUUGGUAAUCAAGGCUAUGACAACAUUUGGUUGGAUAUCAGACUCCACUACUUUUUCUGAUUUACUUAAGGACAGUAAAGUAGGCUUUUUAUUGCCCGAUCAAAAAAUUGGUUCAUCGGGGGAGCUUGCUGCGAGAAACCAGAAUGCUGCUUCUUCAGAGGAUGUAAAAUAUGUUUUGAAGCAAGUGGGUUUCGGCUGUGCUUCAUGAGGGCUUGUCACUAGAGAUGAACACAGCUACUUUUCGGAAAGUGGAAGACAGCAAGGGAUUUCACCGGGGCAUAGCUACUCUAGACCAUUCCGAUUUGGAGGCUUCUAGGCUAAAUUGGAUGGCAGCUUCUAGUACAUAACAUGUUGAUCACUUCAUGAGGUAAUUAAACUGGUCUUGUUUGUAUUGUGGUGUUUUUAGAAUAAGAGCUUUAUAACCAUUAUUGUAUUGUCGGAAUACCUUGAGCUCAUCAAAUUUAUCAUUUUUCAGGUUUAUUGUAACAACUGAACCUGUAAGCUUAUACAAGAUGAAGGACAUUUCGAUCCCGCUCGAGUCAAGGAAAGAGUUCGCUGCGCCAUUAAAGAGUAGUUUCAUAACAAUAAAGAGAAGUGAAAAGAACAGAUUUAACUUACUACUUACAUGUUCUUACUCUUCCUGAAGCUCAGAAAUUAAAGAAAGCAAAAAGCUUCUUAACCAGAGCAAGUUCUUGGUGCAAUGUCUGUUCAACUUGUUGGUUGUUGUCCAUAUAAUUUUUCACAAGGCAAUCUUAAAAGGCUCAUAGUUG
rnacentral:lncRNA from 1 species